rnacentral:rRNA from 1 species
UGGGGUAUAUUGGACAAUGGGCGAAAGCCUGAUCCAGCCAUGCCGCGUGUGUGAAGAAGGUCUUCGGAUUGUAAAGCACUUUAAGUUGGGAGGAAGGGCAGUAAGCGAAUACCUUGCUGUUUUGACGUUACCGACAGAAUAAGCACCGGCUAACUCUGUGCCAGCAGCCGCGGUAAUACAGAGGGUGCAAGCGUUAAUCGGAAUUACUGGGCGUAAAGCGCGCGUGGGUGGUUCGUUAAGUUGAAUGUGAAAGCCCCGGGCUCAACCUAGGAACUGCAUCCAAAACUGGCGAGCUAGAGUAGGGAAGAGGGUGGGGAAAUUGCCUGUGUAGCGGUGAAAUGCGUAGAUAUAGGAAGGAACACCAGUGGCGAAGGCGACCACCUGGGCUCAUACUGACACUGAGGUGCGAAAGCGUGGGGAGCAAACAGG